rnacentral:rRNA from 1 species
AAUACGGAGGGUGCAAGCGUUAAUCGGAAUUACUGGGCGUAAAGCGCACGCAGGCGGUUUGUUAAGUCAGAUGUGAAAUCCCCGGGCUCAACCUGGGAACUGCAUCUGAUACUGGCAAGCUUGAGUCUCGUAGAGGGGGGUAGAAUUCCAGGUGUAGCGGUGAAAUGCGUAGAGAUCUGGAGGAAUACCGGUGGCGAAGGCGGCCCCCUGGACGAAGACUGACGCUCAGGUGCGAAAGCGUGGGGAGCAAACAGGAUUAGAUACCCUGGUAGUCCACGCCGUAAACGAUGUCGACUUGGAGGUUGUGCCCUUGAGGCGUGGCUUCCGGAGCUAACGCGUUAAGUCGACCGCCUGGGGAGUACGGCCGCAAGGUUAAAACUCAAAUGAAUUGACGGGGGCCCGCACAAGCGGUGGAGCAUGUGGUUUAAUUCGAUGCAACGCGAAGAACCUUACCUGGUCUUGACAUCCACGGAAGUUUUCAGAGAUGAGAAUGUGCCUUCGGGAACCGUGAGACAGGUGCUGCAUGGCUGUCGUCAGCUCGUGUUGUGAAAUGUUGGGUUAAGUCCCGCAACGAGCGCAACCCUUAUCCUUUGUUGCCAGCGGUCCGGCCGGGAACUCAAAGGAGACUGC